CCUAAUAUCUUACAAGAAUGUAGUGGGGUUUUGUGGCUGGGUUUUGGUAGCGGGGAGGGGCUACAGGGGUGGCUUCUGCUAGAAGCUGCUAGAAGCUUCCCCUGUCCGGUGGCUCCAGGACAGGCUUCCUGCUGCUGGCCAAGGCCGAGCCAAUCAGGAGUAAUGGUAACGCCUCCAUGAUAACAUGUUCAAGAACAGAAAGGUAUUGCAUGGAAAGAAUUCCAGCCAGGGAAGAGCAGAGUGAGAACAUGGGAACAACAAAGUAGACACCAAGUUUCAGAGGGGAGUGAGAGAGCAGCUGUAGUGAGUACCCGGCAUCCAGUCAGGGUCAACUCACUACAGUGAAGAAUCCUUCAUCUUGCUGAAAUGUGAGACUGAUUACAACAUGAAGGAAAGACAUGGUAGUAACCCUGGUCUCACUCAUCAUUCUAUGGAGAAAACCAGUUUGGGAUUAGAGAAGAAUCUGGACAAGGUACUGAAACAAAGAAGAAAAAACAGAUUUAGAAGUAGAAGAUGUUUAGAAGAGGAGAAAGAAAAAGUGGAGAUUCAAAGAAGGAUAAGGAGAAAAAAGGAAGAAAGUGAAACAAGUGGAAAGAAGGGAAGAGUUGUCCCCUCCCUGUAAGGCCACAAGUAAACUGAUGAUUAAUUAACAUCAGAUUUUACUUCAUCACAUUUAGUAAGUUCUCUGCUAAUUCUUAAUCAGUCUUGAGCUCUGAAUCCUGUAAGGGUAUGUGUAAUUAGAUGGGACAAGAGGGUGUAACAGUAACUCUGUACUGAAGGACAACUACGUGCAGAGCAGCAUAUUCACCUUAGCUAGCAAGAGAAUCUUCUAUAAAAAUCUAUUUCGUAUGCACCCUGACCUUCCCAAAGAAUAACUGCUCUAAGAAAUAAUUUAUCAAACACUGAAAAAUAAGGAAAUGUCUGAGUUAAA